GAGUGACAGUAGCCAGAGCCAGUGCUCAGCCACCAGGCCUGGGGCCAGUGAGGGGGAGGCGGGGACUGGAGGAAGGAGAGACAGCAGGAGCCAGGCAGGGGCUGAGGGUUGAAAGCAAGACAGCCUACAGGCCUGGAGGGACACGAGCAGCUCCCAGGAGCUAUGGGACUUUGAGGAGAGGAGGACAGAGUAUUUUAAGUUUGGUUGGGCUUCAUGCAGUGGAAUUUCCCCUGGUUACCCCUUAAGAAGAGUUUGCAUUAAGAGCUUCAGUGUGUCUCAAAGUUUUCGAGUCUGAUGGCAGUUCUCAGGAAUAUGGCUCCAGCUUGAGGUGUGCCUUGCAGUGGAAGCAGAUGGGCUGUGUUUUAUUUGAGUUACAGGAGAGCAGAGGCCCCUGUUCUUAAUGCAGCGUUGAGAGUGGAAAGCAGGGAGGAUAUUCAGAGAUGUGAGAAGAUGGGGCUUGGAAACCAGCUGCUGAUCCUCAGAGCACGCCAGCGCACUGGCGUCCCCCAGACGACAUCCAGGUGAUGAGGAUCAAGACUCCCCAGGGAGAGAAGCCCAAGGCGUCCUGCCUACAUGGCAUCUAUGUCAUCCUCCAGGCAGUCUAGGAUGUCCUGACCUAAUCCGACCUGAUUUGUAUCCAAAGUUAUAGGACCAUCCGAUAACCAACCCCAGCUGCACAGAUACCAUUUCAACAACUUUUCUCACUUGACCUUUCCUUUGUCUUGUAAAGAAAUAACUCACAUGCCUAUGCCUUAUAAAUAAGCUCUACUCUCAACCCAUUGCAGCUCUUCAGGCCCACAGGUCCUGUCCCCAUGCCUGCAGGUCUCACUGCCCACGGGUCCUGUCCCCAUGCCUGCAGGUCUCACUGCCCACGGGUCCUGUCCCCACACCUGCAGCUCUCACUGCCCACCACUCCUGUCCCCAUGCUAUUCUCUGAAUAAAGGAGCACUACUACCAGACCUUGAGAGUCCAAGAAAUUUUUCUUUUGACUCCCCACCUUGCAAAGCCCGCAUCACAGGGAGGGGUUGCCUGACCACCGUGCAGGCUGCUCUGCUCUGCUCUGCUUAUCGCCAAGGGAGGCCAGAUAUAGGGGCAUCCCACUCAGUCCCCGACAUCCAACACUGCUCAGGCCCAGCCGCCUCCAAGGAAAUGCCCCUCCCUCAGGGACGGGGACUCCC
rnacentral:lncRNA from 1 species